rnacentral:misc_RNA from 1 species
AAGUCGUAACAAGGUUUCCGUAGGUGAACCUGCGGAAGGAUCAUUAAUUAAACGCGAACUGUCGGGUGUCCACCACCCCCUUCUGGGGGGUGGGGCACUGGCCCCGGCAUAUCCUUUUGAUUACAUCCCAUCUGUGAACUUUUCCACUGUUGCUUCCGUGAGCCUGUGCUUUGCUCUCUCUCUGAGAGUUGGACGUCCAUGAAAACGGCCCUGGUUCUGACCAGGGGGCGGCACGGCAAUGGUACCACAACUCUGGUUUUAUGUUGUCCAAGUCUGAGUGGUUACACAAAAACAAGUUAAAAA